UACCAGCACCCCGAGUGGUCGGGACGUUUAUUGGGCCUAAAGCAUCCGUAGCCGGUUCUACAAGUCUUCCGUCAAAUCCACCUGCUUAACAGAUGGGCUGCGGAAGAUACUAUAGAGCUAGGAGGCGGGAGAGGCAAGCGGUACUCGAUGGGUAGGGGUAAAAUCCGUUGAUCCAUUGAAGACCACCAGUGGCGAAGGCGGCUUGCCAGAACGCGCUCGACGGUGAGGGAUGAAAGCUGGGGGAGCAAGCCGG
rnacentral:rRNA from 1 species